CAGCCAAGAAAAAGAUACUGGAUCAAGUGAUGCUUACACGGAGACUGCAAGAGGAGAAAGGCAUCCUAUUGUUGGAGAUGGCGCAGCAUUGCACAUGGUUGCAGAACAUGGCAGUUGCUCUAAAAAAUAAGGUGGCUGAGGAAGAUGUAGACAAGGGGAAUGUAGGACUUGGGUGCACCCUAAGAAGGAAGCAUGCUGAGGCGUCGGAGAGGUUGCAGGUGGUACUGCAGCAGUACAAGACUGCUUUAGGUCCUGAUGCUUCUUUCCUUCAACAUGAAGAGGAAAGUCAAAGUGGCCUAAGCAGUCCAGACAGCAGUGAGGAUGAAGAAGGAAACAUCAUUUAGAUUGCUCUCAAGCACGAAUAUCCGCCAAGACUUGAUGUGCUAUCAGAAAUGUAAAUACUUUACUGACUUUAUAUUUAGAGAUUGUAUUCAUACUCCUCAAUGGAAGAUCACCCUUGAAUAUGUUGACCAUAUGACUUUUCCCUAUGCCGCAGCAUCAGGCCAAACAUUUCACUUGUACACAACUUAAAUGUUAUUGAACAAAAUGCUCAGCGUCCCUGGAAUGCAUCCUGAGCAAUGAACCAUUCACUUUUGAUCCUUUUUGAAACACUAGAAUGUAAAUUCCUAAAUGUCCAAGUAUAUCUUGCUGGUUACCAAACAACUUGGUGAGCACAUCAUUGUCCAAGAGCAGGAGGUCUUUCCCUUUUUUCCCAGAACGGGAUGCCUAUGCAUUAUUAUUUUCGAUCUCUUAUAGGAUUGAC